GACGUAGGGCGCGAGCGUUGUCCGGAUUUAUUGGGCGUAAAGAGCUCGUAGGCGGCUUGUCGCGUCGGCUGUGAAAACCCGCGGCUCAACUGUGGGCGGGCAGCUGAUACGGGCAGGCUGGAGUUCGGUAGGGGAGACUGGAAUUCCUGGUGUAGCGGUGAAAUGCGCAGAUAUCAGGAGGAACACCAAUUGCGAAGGCAGCUCGCUGGGACGUUACUGACGCUGAGACGCGAAAGCGUGGGGAGCGAACAGG
rnacentral:rRNA from 1 species